UAGACAUCCCUUUCGGGUUUUCGAUCCAUCGAGACACCCAUUUUUUUUGCCUAAGUCGCCCUUUCGGGUUUUCAACUUAGCGGACUUGUUUUUUUUUUCUUUUUUAGGCAUAAUAUUUUUUUAUUGCAUCCAAAUUCAAUGGAUGUGGCAAUUCUUCACCGUCCAUUGCUGUGAGUAUUAGAGCUCUUCUAGAAAAGAUUCUUUUUACGACAUAUGAACCUUCAUAGUUGUGUGUCCACUUUCCACGUGAAUCUAAG
rnacentral:lncRNA from 1 species